UUUCCGUAGGUGAACCUGCGGAAGGAUCAUUAUUGUAUAACCGAGGUGCGAGGGCUGUCGCUGACCCGAAAGGUCGUGCACGCCCGAGUGCCCUCACACACAUCCAUCUCACCCCUAUGUGCACCACCGCGUGGGUCCCCCUUUGGCUUGUUCGGAGGGGGGCUUACGUUUUCACACAAACUUUGUAUGUAGUGUAGAAUGUAUUUUUUGUUUUUGCGAUCACGCAAUCAAUACAACUUUCAACAACGGAUCUCUUGGCUCUCGCAUCGAUGAAGAACGCGC
rnacentral:misc_RNA from 1 species